ACAUCCAGAAAACUUGGGGCUUAUUCUCUAUCAUGGGACACACAUUCUCAAGACUUUUAAAAUCUACAGAAACCAAUGAUUACUUUCCUUACCUUCCCUACUGGAGGCUCAGGCCCUGCCCCAACCACAAGAGCUAAUAACCUGCUUCUACAUGUAAACUCCCCAAUCUUCGGACUUCACAAGUGAUGCAAGCAAAGGCCACCCUGCAUAUGGGAAUGGGCUGUGAACUGCCACCACAGACCCACACAACCACUAGGCUCCAUCUUCCCCUCCCAUCUUCCUUCCACAGAGAGGAAAGACCCAACAUUCCAUGAGCACACAUCCUAUUUUGAGGCAAACUGGAGUCUCUCCAAGCUGGUAUCAGAAAACUUGAAAGAGCAUUUCAAUAGCACCCUUUCCUCCCAAAAGCUAAUUAGGUACUUUAAGUAUCUUCCUAUUUUUAUACAAAACCUCUCCAGUUUGAUAAAUCUACAGUCUCCAUUUUAACAGCAGUUUCCAUCAUGUUUAAGAAUACAAUUAACUCCUCAAACCCAUCAUGAAUAUAAAAGGUGUAAAAGCCACUUCAAUAGGUCACUCCAACAUUAGAUAAAAAGGCUGGGCAAGAAGAGUAUCCCAACAGUCAGCCAGUGGGUCACCAUCAUGCACUGUAAUUUGCAUGGCGUUCUAUUUUUGAGAUUUUAUGUUUAAAAAUAUUUAUAAAUAAAGUCAUCUUCCAGAGUACUGUCUGUCUAAAGUAGGCCAAUGGAAGUUGUAAUCCCAGACUUGCUUUUCUUUUGGAAGGGUGCGAGAGGAGACCAUUCUCUCGACAUCUGUCCCAUUUAAAGAAUUCCACUCUGGCUACUGGCCUAGUUGUUUCAAAAACUACAUUUUAAGGCUUAUGCAAGACUGGGUUGGCAGCAUCUGAUUUGGUGUCUUAUUUAGAGCACACUGGGUACAGGAACAAUGCACCCUUUGUGAAUGUGAGGGGAAAGAGGAAGGCUCUGGCAACUUGGUUAAAAUCAAACCAGCCUCUUAAAAAAAGUGUCUUCAAAGAGGAAACUCAAAUCCUCCCAGAUCACACCAGCACAUUCCUGAGGCCACAGGUGACUUGAGAGAGCAGCCCCAAAUACAAUUUCAAGUAGCACACCAGUCCCACCUCACUGCAAGCGAGGAACGAGCCCCAUCUCUGAGCUCUCAAAAGACAAGAUACCGCAACUUCCCUUACACCUUCCCAGAAAACGGGCAAACCGGCUUGGCAGUUGCCAAAGCUGCUGCACCUGUUCCGAGAAUCUGCUGCGACUCAGCGGUGCAAGCUGGUGAAGCCUGCCCAGGUCUCUCAACUGGAAUAUGUUUUCCCUCUUUAUACAGGAAGCCCCAUGGCUAGACUCUUAUGGCUUUAACUACCUUUUGAAUGUCCCGAAAGCACUACUUCCCGCCCAGCUCUACUGAGUGUACUGCAAGUCUGGCUAGAAAGGUCAAAAGUGCACGGAAACAGACUUGAUUCUUUACAUUGUUCCACAGAAGAAAUGAAAUUGGUUCCUCAAUGCAUUUCUAGAAAAACAGCCUAGAAAGGGCAAGGGUAACAAAGACCUGUCAGGCCUAUAUAUCAAAGUAGAAGAUUUGAGACCAAGAACAAUUCCUUAUUUAAAAAAAAAAAAAAAAAAAGCUGACUGGCUUUUCUUUGAAGUUAGAAAGGCUGCUUUAACAUGAUUUUCUCAGUUCUACCUAGAGCUUUGAAUUCACCACUAGUCCCUGAAAGAAAGCAGACCACCCAAAACAGACCUUGGUUCCUCCUAGGCUCCAUCAAUGCCAACUAUUCCAAUCACUUCUGUCCCAGAAACUCUACUUCAGGCUCUCGGACUCUCUAUUGGCAUCGAGCAACUAAUGGACCGUUGUUGGCCUCCUUGUCCACAACGGGCCAGAGGGGUCUGAGAAGGGCGGGUUGGGAUAUUCCCAUAGUCGGAGGCUAGAAUAAAAGCCAGGUCAGGUCAGGAGAGAUUUCAAAGGUAAGGAUAAUGUGUGAUCAGGCAGAGAAGUAACUGGAAAAAGCAAAUUCUGUCCUAGGGGUAGGAACUGUCUCAUCUCUUAGCAGUUCUCAGGAGUUCAGUCACACCGAGUAAGGGGUAUUUCAUCAGCUAUAAAUCAUAGAGAAAAUUGUUACUAGUUCAAGCUGAUACUUCUUUCAAGUUCACGGGGUUGUGAACCAGAUCUUCCUUUUCCAUUCAGGUGUUCAUAACUAUCUAAAGGCUUGUUCUUUUAAAGCAUGUGCAGUCAAUUUGGGGGUGGGUCGGGGCGUGGGGGAGAUGGUUAGAGGAGGGGAGGAAUAGGUAGAGGAAGGGGAGAAAUCAGAGGAGGAAUUAGGUCAGGAAACCAUGCAAGCAAGCAAAGGCCACUCUGGAAACUCCUCUUAAAUGUAGUUUUUGACAGUGUAGCGCUCCCACCCAUCCUCUAAGCUUCCUGAGACAGAACUGCAGAGCAUUUGAAGCAAGUAAGAGAAGCUAUACAAGAGCAUAUGCAGCAGGACAAAUAAGACUUUGCCCAACACAGGAGGUGUUUCAGCUACCAACUGCCCUCUGAAUACUACCUUAGCUACAUCUCGCACAUUCUCGUAAGUUGGGUUUUAUUUCCAUUCAGAUCAAAAUACUUUCUGACAUAAAAUUUCUAAUUCUCUCUUCCAAUUUUUCUUUCGAUUUCUUCUUUGACUCAUAGGUUACUGAGAAGUUACUUAAGUUUUUCCAGAUAGCUUUUGCUCAUGGACUUCUCAUUUAAUUUCACUGUGAUUGGAAAUCACAGUGAGGGUGUAUGCCUUGAAUCCUUUCAAAUUUGAGACUUGUUUUUUACCUCAAACAUGUCGAUCCUAAUAGUAUACACCUGAUGAUGUAUUCUGCUGUCAUGAGAUUUAAUGUUCUAUAAAUGUCUAUCAGAACAAGUAUGUCAAUAGUAUUAUUUGAAACUUCUAUAUCCUUCCUCAUUCUACUUGUUUUAUCAAUUAAGGAGAGACAGCAGAUAGUGGAUUUAUCUAUUUAUCCUUUGAGUUCUAUUAGUUUUUGUUUCACUUUUUGGAAAUUCUUUUAGCAUUUAGGACUAUACUAGCCUCUUAAUAAUGGACUGAUCCCUUUAUCAUUACGCAAUGACCCUCUUUAACCUCCGUGAUAUUCUUUGCUCUGAAAUCUACUUUAAAAUAGUCACUACAGUUUUCUUUUGAUUACUAGUAGUGUAAUUUACUCUUCCACCCUGUAUAAGUGUGUCUUUAAAGUGGGUGUUCUGGAGACAGCAUAGCUGAAUCUAUUUUUCUUAAUCCAAUGUGAUAAUCUGUACCCUUGUUGUGUUUAGACCAUUUGCAUUUAACGUGACUGUUAAUAUGUGAAUUUAAAUAUACCACUGCAUUUGAGUUUAGAGAGAAUUAAAGUUCAGUAACAAUGAAUUUAACAAACUGUUACAAGUGAUAAGGCUCUGAACUAGAGAUAUCUUAAAGAAUGCAUUAAAAACAUACCAGAAUAAGUUCAAACAGUGUUCCUUGGUCAACUUUCAGGAAUUCUUGGUCCCAAACUGGGAUAUCAUCUGUCCGCUUUUCUUUGUUCUCAUCAUCCUCAGGAGGAGGGGGGUCAUCCUUGUGAUGGGUGCACCACUGAAUGACCUGGAACAAAGAAAGUUCAUUCCUUUGUGGCAUUACGUCACAAGGUACUCGUUCCACUACUGGGGCAGAGUUAUUCCUACAAUGGUCUAAGAGCUAGCUAGAAGCUGACUUGAGUAAGCAAAUUACUGGCUGAGCUUGAAAAGCAAAACCGAAGCUUGAGGAAUCCUCACAACCCUAGAGGCUAAAAGAUCUUAAAAAAAAAAAAAAACAAAAAAAAA